rnacentral:lncRNA from 1 species
ACUCUUUGUUCAUGUUGAGAUUCAACAGGAAAUAUUGUUUUUACAGGGUCUGGAAUUUUAAUGAGUCUAAGGAUUCCUGAUGGUUGUAUUGACUUUAUUUGUGGGGUUCUCAAAAGGAAUCUCACAGUGUAGUCAACAGCAAGGAGUAAGCAUUUUCUUACUUACAAAACCAAAGUUAUAUGUGUGGUACAAAGAUGAGAGACUGGGGCCAGGCGAGGUGGCUCACGCCCAUAAUCCCAACACUUUGGGAGGCUGAGGCAGGCAGAUCACCUGAAGUCAGGAGUUUGAGGCCAGCUUGACCAACAUGGUGAAACCUCAUCUCUACAAAAAAUGCAAAAAUUAGCUGGGUGUGGUGGUGCACACCUGUAAUCCCUGCUACUCAGGAGGCUGAGGCAGGAGAAUCACUUGAACCCAGGAGGUGGAGGCUGCAGUGAGCCAAGAUCACACCACUGCACUCUAGCCUGGGUGACAAAGCAAAACUCUGUCUCAAAAAAAAAAAAAAAAAAAAGUGAGACUGGGAGCAGAAAGCAAGCAGUACUCACGCCACACUGCUGGGCAGUGGUGCUUAAAGAAAGCGAAAGAACAAACAAAUGAAAUACCAGCCUCAAUGCAAAAAUAAGCUGGAAUGGAGGAGGUUUUCCAUGCUUUUUGAAAGAGGCUGGGUAGAAAUUGUAGUCUUGGGGGUUUUGUUGACAGCAAGAAUUUCAGCUUUGCCUUAAGUGUUACUCAGAAGGUGAAAUGGAUUCAGCCAAACGUUACCAUAUAAACACAAACAGGCACAUUUUGAAAACAGUUCCUGGAGUUCCAGGGAGCUCCCCUUUAAUUCAUCCCUAGCUCAAUGCCGUAUAGUUAGUGUUCAACGUCCUUCUAAGAAAAGAACUGAGGCGGUUUAUUAUUAGUGGUGAAGAACCAAUACACAGAAAUACAAAGGGUCAUAGAAAGACAGUAAGCAACAUUUCUGCUACAACAAGAGUCCGUAACCAUGCUUUACUCCAGCCUCGGGGCUUCUGAAACCUCCCUAAGCUAAGAAACACAAACACAUGUAUGUGGGCCCAUAAUAGAUGUAGGUGAGGGCUAUAGGUCUCCUCAGCUUCAUACCAGGUGGUAUGUUACAAUGAAAGCAAGUCUCAGACGGAAUUCGGCCAUAAAAUAAACAUUUAGAAGCCAGCAGGCUCAAAAACGUGGUACAACCAGUUCUGUAAACUCAACCAAGUACUGGUGCUUUGUUCUGCUGGCACACUGACAGGUGCCUUACAUAACAGAUUCACUUAAGGCAGAUGUGACAGUACUCGAACAGCAUGAUUUAGCUUCAUGUCUAGUCAGGGUCAGGUGCAGGAACCUUUCUAUGAGCUGUGGAUACAAGUCCUGAUUCAAAUCCCAAACCAGAGACAGCAUUUGGAAGGGCAUACAUUAUCCACUAGGCUUUCUAGGUCAUAAUACCCUGUUUAUGCAAGGAGAUGCAAUCUGAUACAGUGCUUC